rnacentral:rRNA from 1 species
AGGCAGCAGGCGCGCAAAUUACCCAUUUCAGACUCUGAGAGGUAGUGACGAGAAAUACCGAUGCCGGGCCUCGACGGGCGCCGACAAUCGAAAUGAGCGCAGCUCAAAACACUGAUGUCGUUCCGUUCAACGGUCGGGCGUCGCGAGGCGCCUCGGCCGCUUGGGCGUGUGUCGUGCAAGUAUCGAUCGGAGGGCAAGUCUGGUGCCAGCAGCCGCGGUAAUUCCAGCUCCGAAAGCGUAUGCUCAUGCUGUUGCGGUUGAAAAGCUCGUAGUUGGAAAUAAGCUUUUCGCCGAUCGGGCGCCGGCCGCGAGGCCGCGCGUCGCGUUCGAAACGAAAGAUGGUGGACGUUCGGCGGGCGCGUUCCGAGAGGGCGCGUCCGCGCGAGUUCGAAGGCGGACGGCCGGCGUGGCUCCCAUCUCGAUGGAAGUUGCACGUCGAGAGUCGUUCGCAAGUUGCCCUGAAGAAAUUGAAGCGAUCAGGGCGGGUCGACGUUAAGCGUGACUCGGGCCGCGAGGCUCGAAGUCGACCGAGAACAGUCGUGCAUGGUACAACGGAAGACGGCCGCGGCUCUGCCGCCGGCGUCGAGAUAUGUGCGCGUGGCAAUGAUCAAGAGGGACGGACGGGGGCAUUCGUACUGUGCCGGGAGGGGUGAAAUCCGUGGAUCGGCGCAAGACGAACAGAAGCGAAGCGUCUGCCAAGGACGUUUUCCUUAAUCAAGAGCGAAAGUCGGAGGUUCGAAGACGAUCAGAUACCGUCGUAGUUCCGACCGUAAACGAUGCCGACCGCAUGGUCGCCCACGUAUUCAAAGAUCUCACUCGGGUCGCGCGCCUGCGGCGUGUCGGUGCUCGCGCGUCCCUCGCGGACGGUCGGCGAGGCCGCGCGUCGCGGCCCGCUCGAGGGAUCGGGCAUGUCGGGGUGGCCGUGCCGGGAGGGAAACCGGAGUCUUCGGGUUCCGGGGGAAGUAUGGUUGCAAAGCUGAAACUUGAAGGAAUUGACGGAAGGGCACCACCAGGAGUGGAGCCUGCGGCUUAAUUUGACUCAACGCGGGGAAACUCACCCGGCCCGGACGUUACGAGGAUUGACAGAUUGAAAGCUCUUUCUCGAUUUAGCGGAUGGUGGUGCAUGGCCGUUCUUAGUUCGUGGAACGAUUCGUCUGGUUGAUUCCGAUAACGAACGAGACUCGAAUUUACUCAUGUAUGCGGGCCCGAUGCUGCGCGUCGUGCCGGCUUCGCGCGGGCGUCUCUCGGGGCGCUCGCCGGGCCGCUCGUCGCCAGGUUGUGCGAUCGGGUCGCGUUCGCGGCGGCGAAGGUCGCGCGCGACGCGAAAGUAUUCUCAGAAGGACCGGCGGCGGUUAAGCCGCACGAGAUCGAGCGAUAACAGGUCUGUGAUGCCCUUCGAUGUUC